rnacentral:rRNA from 1 species
AGAGUUUGAUCCUGGCUCAGAUUGAACGCUGGCGGCAGGCUUAACACAUGCAAGUCGAACGGUAACAGGAAGAAAGCUUGCUUUCUUUGCUGACGAGUGGCGGACGGGUGAGUAAUGCUUGGGAAUCUGGCUUAUGGAGGGGGAUAACUACGGGAAACUGUAGCUAAUACCGCGUAGUAUCGAGAGAUGAAAGUGUGGGACCGCAAGGCCACAUGCCAUAAGAUGAGCCCAAGUGGGAUUAGGUAGUUGGUUAGGUAAAGGCUGACCAAGCCGACGAUCUCUAGCUGGUCUGAGAGGAUGACCAGCCACACUGGAACUGAGACACGGUCCAGACUCCUACGGGAGGCAGCAGUGGGGAAUAUUGCACAAUGGGGGGAACCCUGAUGCAGCCAUGCCGCGUGAAUGAAGAAGGCCUUCGGGUUGUAAAGUUCUUUCGGUGAUGAGGAAGGUGUUUGUUUUAAUAGAACAAGCAAUUGACGUUAGUCACAGAAGAAGCACCGGCUAACUCCGUGCCAGCAGCCGCGGUAAUACGGAGGGUGCGAGCGUUAAUCGGAAUAACUGGGCGUAAAGGGCACGCAGGCGGUGACUUAAGUGAGAUGUGAAAGCCCCGAGCUUAACUUGGGAAUUGCAUUUCAUACUGGGUCGCUAGAGUACUUUAGGGAGGGGUAGAAUUCCACGUGUAGCGGUGAAAUGCGUAGAGAUGUGGAGGAAUACCGAAGGCGAAGGCAGCCCCUUGGGAAUGUACUGACGCUCAUGUGCGAAAGCGUGGGGAGCAAACAGGAUUAGAUACCCU